rfam:KR 1020160027019-A/5: METHODS AND COMPOSITIONS FOR DENGTE VIRTS VACCINES
AGUUGUUAGUCUACGUGGACCGACAAGAACAGUUUCGACUCGGAAGCUUGCUUAACGUAGUGCUAACAG